rnacentral:rRNA from 1 species
CACGCUGUAAACUAUGUUCACUCGCUGUUUGCGAUAUACUGUAAGCGGCUAAGCGAAAGCAUUAAGUGAACCACCUGGGGAGUACGAUCGCAAGGUUGAAACUCAAAGGAAUUGACGGGGGCCCGCACAAGCGGAGGAACAUGUGGUUUAAUUCGAUGAUACGCGAGGAACCUUACCUGGGCUUAAAUGUAGAUUGAUUGAACCGGAAACGGUUUUUUCCUUCGGGACAAUUUACAAGGUGC